rnacentral:rRNA from 1 species
UACGUAGGGAGCAAGCGUUGUCCGGAAUCAUUGGGCGUAAAGCGCGCGUAGGUGGCCUCAUAAGUCCGUUGUGAAAGUCAAAGGCUCAACCUUUGAAAGCCGAUGGAUACUGUGAGGCUAGAGUCCGGAAGAGGCGAGUGGAAUUCCUGGUGUAGCGGUGGAAUGCGCAGAUAUCAGGAGGAACACCAAUAGCGAAGGCAGCUCGCUGGGACGGUACUGACACUGAGGCGCGAAAGCGUGGGGAGCGAACAGG